UGCAGCAGUACACUGUAGCAACCGUACUCAAGACGCGAUACAUUGUUUCAUUGCAUCGCAUAUGAAUGGGACGCUGACAUGACAUUCCCGACCACUGAUUUAUUACGUUGAGAACGCACUCUAACAAUAAACACUUGAAAAAAUAGCGACAAUCUUCAGAACGCCGUUGAUAUAGCAUGUUUUAUAGAACCAGUUUCGGUUUCGAUCGAAACCGGGACUGGUAGUAUAAAAGCUGUGAUAAUAUAAUGAAUUAUCAGCAGCGAUUUGAGGUUUGUGAUCACUUCAUUUGUGAAUUAGAGCUCCUAAACUUUCAACUAAAGCAACAAAGUUAAUGGUUGAAGAAGAUAUCAUGCCACUACGCCUUUAGUUAGCGGCACAACAUUCAUUUUGACGCCACUGCUAGCAACACUGGCAUUGUUUUUUUUCCAUUCCGUGGAGGAUUUUUUGUGCGUGAACGAUCGCCCGCUUGUGAAAAGUUAGUGCGACUCAGUGAUUCGUCUACGUAAGAUACCAAUUUCACAAGAACAAAAAGGUUAUAAGUGCGAAGAGCGUGCGGUGGUUUAACCGCAAGGACGUUGACGACUUCACCCCUGGGGAUGUCUUCAGUGCUUACUGGGAGCGGCGAUGAGAAGACCAAAGUCGGCUCUACGACACCGUGCUUCUGCAUAUGACAGUCCAAAGAAGAAAUGGACCAAUGUUUCAAUGCAUACGGAACAAAAAAAAAGAUACGCCGACCAGCCCAAACAAACAUUUAUGACGUCUCGGCUUUCAGCACGCAAGCCUUGAUCACAAUGAACGCAUCACCAGAAGUGCUUCAUUUAAAUGGGCUUGAGUAAUCACUGCAAAGGCUGUGCGUAGAUGGGGUUGCGAUUUCCGUCGUUAAGAUUAACUCUCUUGCAAGUGGUCUGUAUGAUAAGUGAUUCUAUACGUAGCCGAGAUGCUGCCAUAUUUUCUGUUGUGACGAUUUUUGCGUUGUCUCAAUCAAUCUUGUGGUCAUUCAUCACGGCGUGUUCAGCUAAAGCGUUGUUGUGGACGCUCUUAUUUUUUGUCACGAGCGUGCUGCUGCAGACGCUUCUUGUAGUUUCCUGACUCUCCGAUGUAAACACUCUUGCAGUCUGCCAAAAUAUCUAGUAAACUACACUGGGGAAAUGCUCCCUGAGCAGGCGGUCCUUCACUCUCACAAGUUGAUGGCGCAUCUUUUUGGGUGAAAUGUGUGCCACAUACAUGUCAUACUCACGUCGGACAUGUGCCAAACAUUCGCUUGUCGCAGAAAUAUGCGGUAGGGGGCUCGCUUCGUAGAGGCGGGGGCCAGCAGAGAGGAGGUGCGUCAAGGUGUCAUUGUCACGACAGUUGAAUUUCACCUCUGUGCACUCCGCUUUCAACAAGAGGGCUGUUGUCAGCACGCUGCUGCAGCGUGCCAAAAGAUUGGGCUCGAAGCCACAUGAUGCAGGCAUGGCAAAGGUACGGGAUGACCUCGAUCACUGUGGAUACCCUAGGCACUUUACCAGUGCAAUAGACUGUCAACUGUCAUGACGGGUACACACUUACGCGCCUGCUUCAGCAGAACACGCCAUGAUGAAUGACUACAAGAUUGAUUGGACCAACGCAAGAAUCGUCACAACAGAAAAAGUGACAGCAUCUUGGCUACGUAUGGAAUCGCUUAUCAUGCAGACCACUUGUAAAAGAGUUAAUCUUAACAACAGAAAUCUAAACGUGAUCAAUGCGAGGUCUUUGCAGCAAUUUCUCAAACCUAUUUAAAUGAACCGCUUCUGCUGAUGCAUUCAUUGUCAACAAGGCUUCCGUGCUCAAAGCCGAAACGUGAUAAACGUUUGUUUGGUCUGGUCGGCAUCUCUUUUUGUUUCAAAUGUACCGUGCCGGCCACACGGGAUUCCUUCAUGCUGUCGACUUCCAUGUCAACACAAAGAGUGCACAAACCGCAACAGAAGGUGAGGUAAUGGGAAAGCUGUAUAUCUUUUUUGCUUCGAAAGCUUUUCAGAUACAGCGCCCUAGCAUCCUUGGUUCUUACAUAACUCAUAUUAUGUGUAGCAUCUGGAAUACUGUACUCUAUGUCAAUAGUUUCUUGCUGCACUGGGGAAGCCGCAGGAUUCAUUUGCGGACAGAAAUGCCAAAUGUUCCUAAAUAUGCAUUAAUUUAUGCCAUGUCGUCACCUCAACGUCUGCUUGCCAUGUUGUCUGUGCCUCCUAUGUGCUUAGUGAAUUGACACAGCAAAUAUUUGGCAUUUUAACCAUAAACUGUGUUUACAUGAACGUGGCAGUAGGGCCUUGCUUCACAUAUACAUUUUCUCAGCAGUUUCCUGCAGCUUCCUUAGAUUUUAAGUAAGGACAAACACUUUGCACACAAGCGUAAAAAGACAUGGAAACACAUGAGCAUAAAGGUAUGUGCUAGCGCAAUUACAUGUCGUGCCACCAGGUGCCCUCUUUUUCAGAGGGCUCUAAAAUGCACUUUGGCACACGCCUGGCAGUCUCAUAACGUCUUGCAUUCGCCUUCACAACUUGAUGCCUUUCAUGUCCUGCACAACAGGAUUACUCUUCUUCAAAAUCAGUCACAUUUGUGCGCCAUGAAUGGGAAGCAUGGAGUGAUGUUUUGUCUUCUGUAUCUGGACCCAUGUGGAUGGUGCCAGCCAAGAAUGGCAAAAAUAAGGAAAACCUGUGCCACUCCCACAAUAUUUCAUGCCACUUGCCACUUCGUUGAAAAGGAGACUGCUGAGGAGGCGUUUCUGGAUGACACGGCCUCUACGAGCCUUCCAUUGUGGGAUGAACAGUUAUUCCCAUCAUUAGAGCCUUCACCAAAUGAGAUU